CAAUAAGUUUAACGUGAGUCCAGUGGACAUGGAAAGUGCAUCAGUGGCUCUUAUAUGCUUGCAACAAAGGAUUCCUUUCAUUGCUAUUAGGGCUCUCUCUGACUUGGCUGGUGGCGGCACCGCGGAGUCGAACGAGGCUGAUACCUUCUCACCACUGGCUGCAACCAACUCUGUUGCUGUGGUCAUUGAGUUUGUGAAGCUAUUGUCAUCACACCACUCUAAGUGGUAAACUAUGUUAUGAUGAUGUUUUCAAUAAUCCGUAAUUAGUGCAAUUAUAUGCACAUGUAGACAACAACUUUGUUCUGGUUGUUUGUCCGGAAUAUAAUAAAGCACCAGCACUAAAUAAAUAUUAUCAUAUAUAUAAUUAAGCUCUAAAUGGUACUUAUAGAUGGACUAUCAGACAUCUGAAGGUAACGACAUAUAUAUCAACUCUAACACAGUAUUUCCAUUGCAGCAGCACUAGAUUAAUGUUUCCCUCAGACUCCAUUUCUCAUGUGAAAAUAAAUGCAUUCAUCUAAAACCGCAAAAAUAACAUUUCUUUCACUUUAAUUUGAAUACACUUUUUAAGAUGGUGAAUUCUUUGGCAUAAUUCGUUAGGCAAAGUUAGCCAAAAUUUAGAAUAUUACUUAAAAUAUAAUUAAUCAUAGAAAAAUGACACAAUCUUACAUAAUUAGAUAUCGAAUACUAUAUAUGACUAAAAAUCUUCAAGGAUAUGGAUCUAGUUACCAAAUGGUGUUGUGGCUUAAAGGAGAUAUUGAUUAUUUGUUCUCUUUAAAUGGAAAAUUAUAUAUAUUAACAGAAAUGAUGAUUACAGGAACCAAAAAAAAUAAUAUAUGACGAGUACAAAAAGGUAAAACCCCUUAUAUUAACAUAAAUGACGAGUACAAGAAUCUUUUCCCUCUUUAACAUUUUUUUUUAUAAAGAGUUUUUUUUUUCCGUAGAUAGAAGAAAUGAUCAUUUGCCAUUUUUUCCAUCUAGAAUAAAACCAUUAUAAAAAAUAUAUAUAUAUAAAAAAAAAAGAGGAAAGAGGAAAGGUAAUUAAGAUGAACAUAAAAGAAAAACUUGAAAAACAUCUUAAACCAAACCAAAAAAAAUUAUCCAAGCAAUCCAAACCAAGAAAAUAAACAAUAACCAUCAAGUAUGAGAUAUCGAUUCUAUUUCAGUAUAGUGUAAAUGUAAUUUCAAAAUUGUUCUUUAGGCGCCUAGGAUUCUUCAUAAGCACAUCAAGCCCUAAACUUCACUGAUAGAUAACUACAGUCCGCAAGUGAACGGUAGUUAAGAACCAUUCACUACUUUUUAAAUCGGUUAAUCGGGUAACUGAUCUAAAAUGUAUUAUGUUUAUGGGCAAACCUACGAGACCUUGUUAGUUCAAAUAAGUACGACUUUUUAGGGAAGUUAAGUGUGUUACGGAUGUCACUAAUCAUUAUUUCAAACAGAGAAUUAUGACUUUUUAGGAUCUUUAGGAACGGUUUUUAACUUCCCUCAAAAAAAAAGAAAAGAACGGUUUUUAACUACCAUUCGCUACCAAAUGGUUUGUAACUCCCGAUGAGGGUCUUUAUAGAAGUUUAAGGCACUUCUGAGCAAUUGCUAGAUGCUUAAAGAACAAUUUCCUUAUAAUUUGUGGUUAAGCACAUGGAUAAAGAUUAAUCUUAUAAUGGAUCAAACACUUAAAUCUUACAAAAAUUAUCUGGUGAAUCCACCAUAGAAUUAAAAAUUCUAAUGUCAUAUAAAGUUUGAAAAGAAAACAACAUAAGCUUGUGGAGAUUCUUUCAUUAAAAAAAAGCUUGUAGAGAUAUUUUGAUUAGAGUGCCCAAGCCCAAAGCAAUAAUAAUCAAUGAAAAAGAAAACAAUAAACACGUUCUAUUAUUAAUAAUGAAUUGGGUGUGCGUAAUGAUUCUAUUUUUUUAUUUUUUUUGUCAAGUAGCCUAGUAGUUAGAGCUCACACAAUUUAAUUGUGGAGAAGUGGGGUGUCGGAGGUUCGAACCCCAGCCCCUACAUAUAAUAUCCAAUAUUCCUACCAACUGAGCUAAGCUCAUGAAAAUUGUAAUGAUUCUACUUAAUUGGAAUGAAAAUGUGAAUAAGAUUUCAUUGAUUCACUCAAUUAAGCGAGUAAUGAUAGGAAACAAAAGAAAUGUAAUAAGAAUCGGAAGAAGAUUAGUAGUGAGGGGAUAGAGAAUGAUAGAGAAAGAAGUUACAUCACAUAUAUUAUUUGUCUUGUUUUUUUUUUAGUACAAAUCAUUUAUCUAUUGAAACGUAUACAAGUUAGUCAUUUUUUCAUUUGUUAUAUUAAAAAAUUGUGUUAAAGUGACUUAUCACGUAUGAUUAUUAGUAAUAGUUUUAAUUAUCAAUAAUUUUUAUCGUUAAAAAAACUCAGAAAAAACAAAUAUCCAUCUUCUUUGUUUUCUCAUCAUCUUCACCUUCACCUUCAUAAUCUUAUUUCAUCAAACCCAUAAAAUUCAAAUUAAAACAUCAAGUCUUAGUGUCUCAAAUCAAAACCUAGAAAAAGUAAACCCUAAUAAUCAUAUGUGGCAAGCUUCAUCACUAUUUUUUAAUGAAAAAAAAGGAUUAACUUGUAAAUACUUCAAGAGAUAGAGGAUUUAAAUGAGAUAAAAAAAAAAAGAUAAAGAACUCAACUGUUGUAAAUAAAUAAGAUAAAUGAUCUCUGGAGUUAUUUUGCAUAUACCUUACUAUGAGAAAUGUUAUGAACGCUCUUAUUUUAACACUUUAUCUAACAUCCACUCUUUUAUUGAAUGAAAUCUAAGUUAGUUUCAUGAUUAUAUGUGUGGCUCAUUUUUAAAGUGUAUGAUCCACAUGAGUUUGACUAAUAAAAAAAUUAAUGUUAAAGAGAUAAUUAGAAAGUUUGACCUAAUAAAAGAAUUAAUGUUAAAGAGAGGGUUAGAAAUGAAGUGUUAUAUCACUUUGGUUCUUUACUAUAACCCAUUGCAAGUUGCAACUUUUAACAUCCAUCCUCCUUCAGAAAAAAAUAAAAAAUAAAAACUUAUUUAUCUAGAGAUAUCGUCCCUCCCCGCUGUCCUAUUGUAUCUUUGCAUGAUUGCAUCACAACGUAAAUGCUCGCCAUGAGUACCUCAAGGCUGAAGAAUCGUAUCAUUAAUAAAAUUAAUAUUUGUUUAUUUGAUUAAAAGUGAAAGAAAUAAAAUUAUAAAACACGAUUUAACAAAACAAAAGAAGGUAAGAGAAAACAAACAGGCCGGCAGAGAGAAGAAAGUCCCAUCAACUUUCUUCCAAAACAAGAAAGCUAAAAAGAUCAACUUAAUAUCACACAUUCCACGGGACAAACGAGGAAGCAAAAGAAAAAAUUAUUAGGUGAAAUUAGAUUUUUUUUAGAGGUAUUAGGUCACAUUAGUUGAAUAAUAAAUGAUGUUAAUCUCUAGUUGUUUAAAAAAAAUGUGUUAACCUCUACUUCUUAGGAUUUUUUUAAAAACCACUAGUUCUUGAAAAAUAAUGUUAGUAAUACGAAGUUGGAUCGAACAACAUUAUUCUUCCUUUUUUGGUAUUAGCUCUAUCAUUCUCCUCCCUAAGCAUAAGAAAAAACAAAUUUGAGAGAGAUAAGCAUCAAUUUUCUAAUUAUUUAUUUUUUUCUUCGCCUUAUAGUUCAAUUAUAUUUUUUCACUAAACCUUCACACAUCCUCCCUAAUAUCAUUAGCAACCUUAUGUAAUAAAUAUAGGUGUGCAAAUUUUAAGGAAAGAUAUUCACUUGGUUAUCAACAACUUCGUGCUAGUCUAUUUUUUUUGUUCGUUUAUCCAAAGACCCGCCUUGUAUUCCUUCUGUAAAAACUAAAUUUGAGAAGAAAAAAAAUUGUUCUACUAUUGAGCCUCUCAUUCAAUGACGAAUCUAGGACCAUAUGUCAAGGGAUGAUUUAUUUAUUUAUUUUUUUUAAUUUUAAAGAGUCUAAUGAUAAAGUGGACACACUAAACGUUAAGUAGAGAAUUGCGAAUUCGAACUACCUUUUGCAACAUAUCAAAUGUUCUAUACAUUUUUAUCAAACCAAAAUGAUAAGUUAUAUUAACACAACAAACUAAACGAGUUACCAAGCACAAAGAGUGUCAAGGAAACACAUCAAAAGUUUACAACAAUUCAAAAUCUAGCCAAACAAAUGAACCCAAAAAGAAAGAAAUACCACAUGGUAAAACCUAUACAUUCCAAGGGAUUGAAACACCAAUUAUGAUAAUCUAAAGCAAAAGAAGGGUUGCUUUCAUUCAACCAUCAAUAUUAUUUAAUAUAUUAUAAUUAUCUGAUUUGACUAUAUGGGUUAUAGUUAGAAGAACAUUGUGAAUGUAAACAUGGCAGCUUCUUCAAGCUGCACAUGUUGUUUUUCAACCCAUAGAGGAUAUUCUACAAUGUUUAAGUGAUUGUCCGCAUUCUAGAGAGAUUUGCCUCCUAUUGAAUAUGAGACGUUACCAUAAAUUUUUCUCCCAAACCGAUGUCAAGCUUUGCCAUCAUGAGAUGACAUAUGGUACCUCCUAUAUUUUGUUUGUUACAUGAUUAUAGUAUGUUUGGUGUAACACCCCGUUUUCCCAACAUAAAAAUUUCAUAAAAUAAUCAGAGUUAUUCGCGUAAACGGAAUGCUACACUUCUUUUUCUAAAAUCAUAAAUGAAAUAAUUAACUAAUUAUCCUUCAAAAUUCAACAACAUAAUAAUUAAUACUUCGCAACGGAAUUUAUUCAAACAUCUAAAUAGUCUUUGGCACAAAGGCCUCAUCAUAACGUCUCAUAAAAUCCAAUCUAAAACAUAGUCAUGUAAAAUCAGAAGCAAUACGUAAGGAAUAGAAAAGCAUGCAACAAAGUUCCCAUCCCGUUACGUAUCAGAGCACCUAAAGACACACGUGAGAGAUAGUCCACUCAUGACAGCAAAUUCGUGCAACAAAUUUUGCUUAUGGAUAAUUGUUGCUAAAUUCGUGCUCCAACUGUGAUGAUAUGUUUGUAUGCAUGAAUUGAUGAUAAUUGUAUGAUUGUUGGUGAAAUUACAUGUUCAAAUAUGUAAAAAUGAUAAGUUGUGAAAAUUGUGCUCAAUUGGUGAAUUUUGCUAAGUUGUUGUUAGAUUGAGUUAUGAUUCUUGUUCAAUUGAUGUUAUGGCUGUUAAUUGAUGUUGUGGUUGAUGAAUCAUUGCUUGGGUAUGCAUAUUCAUGAAUUGAGGAUGUUAAUUUGAGAUGUUGUUAAGUGUUUUGCUAAAUUUGUGAAUUGGCCCAAUUGUCAAGUGUUUUCAUGUUUGAUUGAGUCUUUGUGAGUCUUUUUAGUCAUAUUGACCUAUAAAGAUGUUCUGAAAACACAUUUGGGCAUUGAGGGAUCAAAAUUUGAGUUUUGGGGUGAAAAAUGGUUUAAACCCGUGAAAAAUUAUACAGAAAUGAUGACUGUUCGCUUAAGCGAGAUGGAAGCGAGCUGUAAGCGAACAACUACUGUAAGUAGUUCGCUUAAGCGAAGAAUUGUUCGCUUAAGCGAAAUGCCCUUUGACAACAUUUCUUAUUUCGCGUUCUUGUGUCUUUUUCACACGUUUCUGUUUUGAAUUGGAUUUUGGUGUAAACAUGAAAAUUUUAGAUAAUUAUGUUAGCUUUCUAAUGGCUUUGGUUUGACGUCCAAAUGAUUUUUAGAACUUGAGUUAUGAUCAAAUUACUACACAUGGUUCAUGUGGAUUUUUGUGAAAACUUAUCAUAACUUUUUCUAUGAGCCGUGAAACUUUUCCAAACUUGAUAUUGGGUUCAAUGAAGUACUUAGAGUGAAUAAUUGAGUAUGCAUUUAUGUAUUUGGGAAUAUGAAUGUGUUGAUGGUUUGAGAUAUAUUUUGGAUGGAAAGUGAAAGGUUGUGAAAACGGAUUUUGAGCUAAAAUGUCGUUUUAAGUGAUCACGUGAAAUAAGCUAUGUUUUAGCGAUUGCACUUGAGAUGUUAGAGUUGAAAAUGAUGUGUUAUUUUGCUGUUUUGAUUCAUAUUUUUGCUGGAACAUAUUUUACAUGGUCAAAACUUGGAUUUUCCAAAUGGUUUGAAACUUGAGAUUGUGUCGUUUCGGUUUUUCGGAAAUUGUCGAAACUUGGAAUUUUGGGAACAAAAAGGAUUGCAAGUUUGGUCUACAGUUCAUAUAGACUUAGACAAGGCUUGUAAGGUUAGUAUAAUGUAUUAAUCAUGUCAAACUUGAUUUUCGGGUGGGAUUGUGGAAUGUAUAAACUUGGGAUUUUCUCAUACGAACUUAUGCUAAUCUUUGAACUAAUGAUUGAUAGUUCGUAAGUGGCCUAUGCUCAUACUUAUAUAAUUGAUUAAGAUUGAAUUGUAGGAUUUCAAACUUGAAUAAGUUUCCUAGCUUUGAAAAAUUAUCAAUGUUGACCGUUUGACACAUGAUUUGGAUUUUUGUCGGAAAUGUUUCUUGAGCCAAUUGUCUUGUGAGUUAUUGUGACUAUUUUUGUAUGACUAAGUGAAGUUGUAUGAAAGAGUAAUUAUAUUUUGGAUAUGAUGUUUAUCAUGAGAUAUGUAUGCUAUCUUACUUAGAAUGUAAGGAAUGCUUGAAUGGUGAAACUAUAUAUGAUAGUUGAUGUUGAAUGAUUAUAUGUUGAAUAUGAUAUUUAUCAUGAGAUGUUGUUUUCCCUUUUACUUGGAAUAUGAGAAUGUUUGAAUUGGUGAAACUAUAUGUGAUAGUUGAUGUUGAAUGACAUUGUUGAUUAUUGAUAAUCAUGUUGAUGUGUGAGGAUGAAUACUAUGAUUUAAUUGUGUAUGGACAUGUUUUCUUGAUAAUGCAAAUGAUGUGGAGAUGAACAAUAUAAUUGGGUGUUGUCCUAUAUAUUGUGGAGAAAAUUGUGAUUGGUGUCGCAUUAUCGAGUCUUAUUACAUGUCCAUGCAUCAUAGUCGUGUAGUUGUAAAAGGGUUGAGCUCUUUUACUUCGGAGAUUAUGUAAGGCGGGUGUGAACCCUUCCUUACAUACGAUGUGAGUUGUUCCAUCGAAGGUGACGACCUUUUGGAGAUUUGGUACCACAUGCAUAUAUGUGUUAAUAGGUGCAUAUCAUGGCAUGAGUCUCAUUGAUAUAUGUGAUUGGUGAUUGUGUAUGAAUAACUGUGAAUUGAUAUUUGUUCAUGACACAUGUGAUUGGUGAUUAUUGAUGUGAGAUAUUGAGGUUUGAUGUAAGUAUUGAUUUGAGAAUAUUAUUAUUGAUCAAGUGCAUGAUGUUUAAAUUGAGAUAUUCAUGUUAACUGUUAUUUGGAUUAUGAUAAUGUAAUACUUACCCCAAGUGGAUCUGUGAUGGACCGCCUGCCUAUCUGUAUGGAUGGGUAGAUGUUGUGCAAGUUUAGAUGCUCGGUGAGUUUUAUGCUUGGUGGAUAUCGGGAGAUAUCGAUGUUUAGUGUGUAGUCGGCUCUGAUCUAAGCUUCGUUGUGUCAGUCUAGAUUAUCUUUAUUUUGGACUUUUGUUAUGUUGGAGAUUACCCGUUUGUUUGGGAUUUUUGAGAUGCAUCUAUGUUGAUGUAAUUAUUGUUUCAUGACAUGUAUAUUGGAUUACUCUAGUUUAUAUUCCGUUGCGAUUGUUGAGGUUUAUAUACAUGUUUAUUGUUUUUUUUGAAUUUUGAAUGUGGCGUAGCCUCUAUUUCUUGAAUAAUUGUAUUAUUCGCAUGUUUAAUUGCUUUAAUAGAAAUAGGAGCGUUACACUAUCCAGAUGGCUCCUGAUUUUUGUCGCAACCAAGGCUAUAACAACAUUAUUUGUGAGAGAUAUUUCUUGAAAGCGGUUGAGUUGUUUGUUGUUGGUUGUGAUCAUACAGUGCACACAUAUACCACUGACAUCCUUCAUAUUAGAGAUGUUUUAUAUGGAAAUGAUAACACUAAUUAAAUGUUGCAUGUUCUUAGAAAACAAAACAUGUGUGCAAAUUUUAUGGCUAAGGAGGGAUCAUAUUCAAGGUGCUCUGCUCACUAGGACUUUCCUGCAUGACUCGGAGUCUUUUAUCUUGAAGAAUAAACUUGAAAUUUAAUUUAUUAUAUACUUUUUCCCUUUUGUUUUGCCUCGUUAUGCUGUAACAUCACAAAAAAAUAUAGGUUAUACUUAAUUAAAAUAACUUCUUACUAAAGUAUUAUAAGCAUCCCUCACUUUAGCUUAAUGGCCGCUAGCUUUACCUACAACCCCAUCACCCAGGGUCGCUCCUUUGCGACUUCACUUUUGCUUGCUUGAGCUUAGAUAUUCACUAUUAAUUACUAAUAAACAAAAGACAACCGAUAGAAAGAGAAAAUUGGAUUAAACCUAAGUUAAAGCAUAUAAACCUAAGCUGACCGAAAGCAAUGUUGAUCUCUGCAAUUUGCGGCGCUAUCUAUGAGUCCUCCCUCUCUCAUGGUAACGGGAGAGAGCCUCAAAAGUUAGAGAAAAAGGGUGUAAAAUUAAUAAUCGAUGGUGUGCAAAAUAGUAAUAAUUAAGUGAGAUAGUAGGGUAAUUUAUGAAAUUCUAGGAUGUGCAUGUGCACACCCUCAUCUAUAGUUAGCGUAUAAAACCCAAAAUAAUUAAGUUUGUAAUGGAAACCUCCUCUAUUAGACGAUCAAGAAAGCCAAUCUUAGUCGAACUCAUCAUUUAAUACGAAAGGUAAAUAAGUUUGAAAGCCAAUAUUAGUCGAGCAUAUCGUUUAAUGCAGAAACAUGUUGAUUUGUCUCAGAUGACAAUUCUAGAGUGGUGCAAGGAUACUGAAUGAGAGCUUUUAAUGAAGGGGUUGCUUUGUUUAUGGAGAAUUUGUGGGUGCAUCAAUACUGCCUCUAACACCCCCCCUCCCCAAUGCUUGAAGAACUUGCCGAUGACAUUCUCUUUUGGUUCACUGAAACCAUAAUGCUGCUUCCUUUUGCUCACAUAGAAAGGAUACUCAGAAACAAAAUGUGUCCUCUCUCUAUACAUGCAUCAAGAUCUACUAAUGAUAUGCUAAAGGGGUAAUUAAGAAACUCAUGGUUAUGUAUGAAGAAUGCUUACAAGGUCAUUUUAUCUCUAUUAAGAUACUUAGGGAGGAACGCCUGUCUUGGGCAAACUGCUCAACCUCUAGUAAUGAAACUACAUGGCAAAGUAACAUCGAUUCAGAGAUCGUACUUGGUCAACAACCCUUGAUUUGACUGAAUUUAAAGAAUGCACAAUACUUUAACAAUAAAAUAUAUAUUUUUAGUAUUUUAUAAGAUAAUAAAUUUAUUAUUUUAAUUGUACUCGUUUAUAGAGUGCCUUGUUUUAGUCUUGAAUUUGAAACCCAGUGUUUACUUACAAUUUACUAUUGAAAAAUGAUAUAAUUUAGGUUGUUUUAACCUUUUCCUCUCUUUUGUUUUCUUUUUAAUGGUACAAAGUAGAAACACUCUUCCUCAUUUAAUUCUCUAUAUAAAAGCCAACCUAUUUGUUGGUCAUGUUUUAAAAUACCAACUCCUAAUCUACCAAAAAAAAAAUAAAAAAAAAUAAAUAAAUAAAAUACCAACUCCUAUGGCCUAGUCAGACCAAUCCAAGGGGUUACUCUUCAUUCUAUUCUCUAUAAAAACCAACCCAUUAGGUCCUUCAUUUCUCAAAUCCCACAGUUCUUGUCUUCCUAUAUUGCGUGUGUCUGGGUGUGGAUAAAAAUGGCAGCCACUCAUGGGAAAAUAAUCUUGUUCAUGUUUCUUGCAGCCUUUAUGUUGUUUAAUACCCAAAAUGCAUUCGUGAGUUGUGCUUUAACAUCAGAGUUACAAAACAAAAUUGCUAAAAUCAACGAAGAGGGUCCUUAUUUGGGUUUAAUCAUACCAAAUUCUUUUGAACUUAACCCUCUUCUUCAAAAUCCAGGCUAUACUCCUAGUGAUAGCAUCAUAGAUUUUGCAGGUAAGUGCAUGUGUCUAUCCGAGGACAUAUAACUAUAUGCUUCUUUUCUUUCUCUUCUGUAAAUUGAACAAAUGAAAGAUCCUAGUUUUCUUUUACUAGAGCUGCGUCUUGUAAACAAGUAAUUUCUAACUACUAUAAAUCAUAUAUUGACUUCUAAAUAACAUCAACAGUAAAUAAAUAACUCAAAUAGUUAAUUAUAUCAAUAACAUGUUCGUGAAAUUUUGUUAGGGAAAAAAAGUAAUAGCACUUUCUAAUUUGCCUAUUUUUUGAUGGCUAAUAACGAAGGAAGGAGAUUUCGUUUUGGAUCCAUUGGCGAGAAACCAGUUAUACUGGUAAUGACGGGAUUGAGCGUGGUACGUACGUAUUAUUUUGUUGUUUUUGAGAUUAUUUAAACUAAUUAUUGGAAUUACUUUAUUAAAUUGUGUCUAAUAUUUUUGUACUGAUGCAUGCAUGAAAUGUGUAGAUAAACGCAGCUAUAACAACACAGCUUCUAUUAAGCUUUUUCAAAGUAGAUGGAGUUGUUCAUUACGGAAUUGCUGGAAAUGCAAACCCUUCAUUGCAUAUUGGAGAUGUUGCUAUUCCACAUUAUUGGGCUCAUUUAGCACUUUGGAGCUGGCAGGUAGUACAGUCCACAAUAAUACUCAAUAAAAAAUUAACAUGAAAUAAUGAAUAUAUACUACUGAAGAAAUCAUUUAUAAGAAAUAAAUAAAAAAAUUAGUAUUUUCUAUAUCUCAAGCUAGCUUUGGCUUUUUUAUUUGUCCAUAAAAAUCUCAACUAUUAUCAAUGGACUAAUUAAUAUUUUGGUGGUGUUCGGGGUUCGAACCUCUUAGACCUUAUAUAUAUAUAUAUAUAUAUAUAUAUAUAUAUAUAUAUAUAUAUAUAUAUAUAUAUCAUCUUUACUAACUGAGUUAAGCUCGCGGAGACUUAAAAAUAUAUAACAUAUAAUAUAAUAUUUUAUUUUUAGUCAUAACAUAUACUAUUAUAUUAGUGUGCUCGUAUAUUGGACCAUUUUAUCACUUUAUAAUGCAAAAUAAUACGUGGAGAUAAUAAAAAUAUUCUUCUGUCAAAAAAAAAUAAAAAAAUAUAUUAUAUAAAAUUAGCACUUUGGAGCUGGCAGGUAGUACACUGAAACAGUUAAUUAAAUAUUACCAAAAAAAUCAUAAUAUCAUAUAAAAUUAAAUAAUUGAACCCAAAUUUCUUUUAUGGUAAAUAAUUUUAAAAUAACAACACAACAUGUAAAAUAAAUAAAUUAAAAUAACGACUAAAAAGCAUUGAAUGUGAAUGGUACUUAUUUCUUUAUCUUUAUCUCAAGUCAUCUUUUUCUUUCAAAAAAAUCUCAAGUCAUCUUUUGGCUUUGUUAUUGUCGACGAGAACUCAUUCUUUUUUUUUUUGAAGGAGGACGAGAACUCAUGAAUAUAUCAAUACUCGAGACAAAAAUAAUUCAUAUACGGUCAUUGUUGACUCUAAAAUAUUGCAGGGUCCUUUUCGAAGGGUUUUUGGUAAAAAUAAUUGAUAAAUUACUAGUUUUUAAUCAAUUGAUAGUUGAAAGCUUGUUUUAUUCAAAAUUUUGAACGUGACUUUUUGUAUAUUUUGAUUUCCGUUGCAAUCAUGUACAUACCUUUGAGAGCCCGUGGUUGAACUUUUUUUUUUUAUCAAAAAUAAAAAAUAAAAACACAAUAAAUUUUAAGGCUUUAUGUCACCUUUAAUCAAGUGGUUAAUUUAUUUUUGUUGAACAAUCAAGUGGUUGAAUUUAAAUGGUUGAUGAAUUUGAGUUAAUAAAUCUUUUUGAAGAACUCUUGUUUGAGUUCUAACUUGAAUAAUCUUUGAUCAAACUUAUUUACUUCAUGAGCAUUUUUUGUGUUACUAACACUUUUUUUUCUCAAAGUCAGAUGGUAAAGACAAAAAUAAAACUUUUAAAACUUUUUGUGUUUAUUACUCCCUCCGUCCCAUAAUAACUCAGCCAUUUGCAAAAAAAAAAAAGUGUUAUAAAAUAAUCGAGUCAUUUCACUUUUCAAUACAAUAUUAAUUACUUUUUCCCUUUAUAACUCUAAUUAAGUACUACUUUCACUACUCCAAAUUCAAUAUAUUCUACUUUACAUUUAUGAUAAAGAAGAAUGCACCAAUACUUGAUAAAGACACUCAAAAUUAUUUUUCUCUCUCUUUUAUUUAUACACUUUUCUUAAUUUGUGUGAAAUCAGAAAAUGGCUCAAUUAAACUCGGACGGAGGGAGUAUGAAUUAAAAAGAAAAUGAGAAUCUAAAAAAUAUAAAAAGUAUUUUGAAUGAGAAGUUGUUUUUAUAGCUUCUAAAAAAAUCAUUUUUCAUAACUGAUCAUUUAUUAAAAAAUUAUUUCAUUAUGGUAACAAACACAAUUAAAUAGCUUAUAUUUUUGUAAAAUAUUUAAAAAUUGAAUUCUUUUUUGUAUAAUCUGCUUGAAUAAGAAAUAUUUUCUUUUAAAUUAAUUAACAACUACAUUUUUUUCUUGGUCAAGUAGUGAAAACUUCAUCUAUUGUAAUGGUCACUUUUACACAAAAAAUGUAUUCUCAAUAAUUAUGUUACGUCAAUUUGAUGUUGUUGACUUUGAUCAUUUGAGUGUGUUCAUCUAAAUAUCUUAUGUUCGAUUCAUUUUGUUUUCAAUUUUGGUGGAUUAACUUACCUUCUUAAAGAAAAAAUUUAUGUGCAUGAGUCGUCUAUCCAACAAAGUUUGCAACUGAGAAGUCACUCUCAAACUUUGUUUUAUGAAGGGAUGUCCUCUCAGACUUUUGUUUUUCUUUUCAACUUCUCGUCUAUUUUUAACUUAUAAAAAAAUAAUAAAUCAAACAAAAUUACUAAUCGCAUAGUUGAUUUUUUUUUUCUCACGAUAACUUGUCAUUUUCCAUGCACUCCCUCCACUAUCAAUUAUAAGCAAAUUUCAAUUUUUUAAAUUCAUUCAAUUAAAUUAAUGAUGUAUGUGGUCUAUAAUAUAGAUCAUAUAAAUUAUUAAUUGAAUGCAUUUAAAAAAUCAAAAUUUAUUUAUAAUUGACCGCGGAGAGAGUAUGUGCACAUUGAAAUGGGAUAAAAUUAACCUCAACUGAGUGGUCGUUUUACUCACGUCUCAUUUGUUAAGGGCAAAUACACUAAAUAUGAGCUGUUGACUUUUUUAUUAGGCUAAUUAAUAUAAUAUGAAUCUGGCCCAACACUUAAUUAAUGACUUUAGAGCAUCUUUAUUAUGCAUAGCAUUUUUGAAGGGAAUAAACAUGUAGAUUUUAGUACUCCGUAUUAGCUACUUCUAUCAAAGAUGAAAUAAAAAAGAUUUGUAACUUAGUAAACUUUUAAGAGUUGUGUUGGAGUAAAUUAAUGUUUUUUUCUAAGGAAAAUUAAUGCUUAUUAGAUACUCCCUCCAUCCCAAAUUGUACGACGUUUUGGGCAUUUCACACAUAUUAAGAAAUGUAAUUAAUAUUGUGUGGGAAAGAAAUAUUAUGAGUUAUUUUAUAAAAUUGUCCUUAAUAAAUGAUAUGGGAAAGAUAAAUGAAAGAAUUGAAAAAAGAAAGAGUAAUAAAUAGUUAAGGAUAUAAUAGGAAAAAUAACAUUAAUGUUUCAUUGGUAUUGUAAAGCGACAUAUAAUUUGGACUGGUGCUAGUCACACCCCAAAAAAAACAAGUUACACCCCAGAAUGACUAAUAUACCCUUUAACUAAAAUAAAAAUUUCAAAUUAACUAAAUUUACAUUAACGUAAAUUGAACAUAAGUAAACUUAAUUUACAUUAACCUAAAUUGAACAUAAGUAAACUUAAUUUACAUUAACCUAGAUUGAACGUAAGUAAACUGAAUUUACAAACUUAAUUUACAGUAACCUAGAUUGAAUGUAAGUAAACUGAAUUUACAUUAACCUAGAUUGAACAUAAGUAAACUUAAUUUACAUUAACCUAGAUUGAACGUAAGUAAACUUAAUUUACAUUAACCUAAAUUGAACAUAAGUAAACUUAAUUUACAUUAACCUAGAUUGAAUGUAAGUAAACUGAAUUUACACUAACUUAAAUUGAACAUACGUAAACUUGAAUUUACAUUAACCUACAUACGUAAACUACACUAACCCCUUUUAUAUACAUACACGUAAACUUAAUUUACACUAACCUCUCACUUAAAAUCAAAUUGACAGGCAUAUCUCAUACCAAAACAAACAAUAAACAAAUAGAAACUCAUCGAAAAUGAAAUUCAUGAAAUUCACUGACCUUUAUGAAUAUAGUACAGAUCAAUAACAAAGAUGUUGAUUUAGAUAUUGGUUGCACAUCUAUGGUGAUUUGUGGAUGAAAGGGGGUAAGGGUUCAUAAUGAUCAUAAAAGAUGGGUUUUUAAAAAUUUACAUGAAGAGGGCAAUUUUGGUAUUAUUGUAAAAUUUUAAAUAAAUUUGGGUGUAACUUGUUUUUUUUGGAUGUGACUAGCACCAGUCUAUAAUUUGGGACAAAUAUUUUUUCUAAAGUGACAUAUAAUUUGGGACGGAGGGAGUAUUGCACUUGUUAAAGUAAUUAAAAAUAACAUUUUUUUAGUUAAAUAACAACAAUUAUUUAAAGUUGCAUAUUUAAUAUUAAAUGCACACGUUUUUUAAUAUUAACAUGUUUUUUAAAACUUCUUAAUAUGUGUAAAUUUGUAUAUGAUAGAAAAAUCUAAAGAUAAUCUCUAAAAAAAAAACCUAGAGAUAAAUAAGUGAGAUGGAAGUCAUAUGAAGUCCAUUUAAACUAUCUAUUUUUUUUAAGAGGCACUUAAACUAUCUCUUAAUAACAACAUCAUUGGAGAUGUUCUUAAACCAAACUUAACAUUUUUAAUUUAGUAGCAUAAUUAAUUAGUUAAUUGGUUUUGCGUAUAAAUAAUUACUAUUAUUUUUGUGAAAAGCAUAAUUAAUGAACAAUGCAUGUCUUUGGUUUCAAUUCUAGAGAGUCAAAAGUUAUUUUAGAGGUUGUAAAAUUGAUUUUGUUUUUAUAAUUGAUUCUAGUUUAAGCUACAAUUUGCAGCUUUUGACUUCUACAAUUGAUUUUAGCCUUACAUUUAUUGCGAAAUCCGCUUUUACAUAAAUACUCCAAACAUAAAUCAUUUUAAAAUCAACUCAAUUUUAACGAUGAUCAAUUUUAUAGAAACAAAUUUCUCAAAAUCAAUUCUUGUACAGACGCUCGACUUGAUAGAUUAACGAAUUGCAUAUUUGGCGAAGUUUGUAAUAAUCUGAUGGAGAUUAACGAUUGUAUGUGCAGAGGUAUGGGCAAGAUGCUGAUGAUACGUUACCACUAGAAAUCAAUGGUGACUACACAAGGGACGUAGGUUUCUUGAAAUUUUCAGAUUUUACCUCAAACAUAAGUGCUGCUAACAGUUUUACAGUUAACAAUCAUCUCAACAAUCUUUGGUACCAACCAGAAGAGAUUUUUCCAGUUGAUGGCAUUCCUGAACAAAGGCAACAUGCUCUUUGGGUCCCUGUUGAUUCCAAGUACUACCGUAUUGCCAAAAAACUAGAGGUAUGUAAUUAAGGUCUGGAUUCAAACUACUAUGUAGUAUGUACCAUAAAUAUAUAUGAGUAGGGUUUCAACUUAUGUUUUCUUUUAUAAAAAAAUAUAUAUUAUUGGUAUGAGUACAAGAGCUUGUCAAAUGCAUUACAAUAUGUGUUAAUCAAAUACAUUGUAAGACAUUUGUGUAGGUUACUUUAUCAAUAUGAGAAAAUCAGAUUUUUAUUUCAAUUUUCAACCUUCCUACAAUUGAAGUUCUGUUGGCCUUGAUUAUAUUGCGGGUUCGAAUCAACACAUCGGCAUAUCGAAUCUUCAUAUGCAAUCUUUUUCUAUCUUAAUAAGAUGUACUUGUGAAACAUAUAUGGCGCCGUCACUUCAUGAAUUUAAAAACAAAUAAUUUACUAUAAUAAUAAUAAAUAUAUUUUUACAAAUAUAUAUAUAUAUAUAUAUAUAUAUAUAUAUAUAUAUAUAUUUUUUUUUUGAGAGGAUCAAUAAUGUAAACUAUAUUUUUACAUUUAUAUAUUACUACAUGAUACAAAUUAUGUGGUUAUGUUUAUUGGGAUAUAUAUUUUUCAGCAAAUGAAGCUGGAGGCGUGUAUAGACUCAGACACAUGCUUGACAACGACACCAAAGGUUGUGCUUGUGGAGAGAGGAACAAGUGCAGGGUUCUAUCUAGACAAUGCAGCAUACAGAACCUUCAUCUUCAAUAAGUUUAACGUGAGUCCAGUGGACAUGGAAAGUGCAUCAGUGGCUCUUAUAUGCUUGCAACAAAGGAUUCCUUUCAUUGCUAUUAGGGCUCUCUCUGACUUGGCUGGUGGCGGCACCGCGGAGUCGAACGAGGCUGAUACCUUC
rnacentral:lncRNA from 1 species